GACGAACGCUGGCGGCGUGCCUAACACAUGCAAGUCGAACGAAGUGCUUACAACAGAUUCCUUCGGGAUGAAGAUGUAAGUAUCUUAGUGGCAAACGGGUGAGUAACGCGUGAGUAACCUGCCUCAGAGUGGGGGACAACAGUUGGAAACGACUGCUAAUACCGCAUAAGACCACGGUCUCGCAUGGGAUUGUGGUAAAAGGNUUUAUUCGCUUUGAGAUGGACUCGCGUCCAAUUAGCUAGUUGGUGAGGUAACGGCCCACCAAGGCGACGAUUGGUAGCCGGACUGAGAGGUUGAACGGCCACAUUGGGACUGAGGACACGGCCCAGACUCCUACGGGAGGCAGCAGUGGGGGAUAUUGGCACAAUGGGGAAACCCGUGAUGCAGCGACGCCGCGUGGAGGAGAA
rnacentral:rRNA from 1 species